AGCUCCUUCUCUUAAUUACUGUGUAUUUGUUCCUCUUUUCCUUUCCAAGUAAAACUCCUUUUCUUCACAACGUCCUUCUCCUUUACCUCUCCCUCCCACUCACCAGAGAAGCCAUCAAACACGGAUACAACAAUGACACUGGACACGGUAACAAGUUUGGUAAAGAGAUCGGGAUGGGCAACAGAAGCGAUGGCACCAAUCAUGGCAGAAACAGAGUGUCCAACUUAAAUGCAACGACAAAUUUGGAGUUCUCCCAAAAUAGCGAUCACCUCACAGGCGUACGUAUCCUUCUAAGAUUGGCUACCUAUAGAAGUUAAAGGAGUCGGGAUUGAAAGUUCCAACACCCGUAUUGUCAAACAAGACAACCUUAUAAUCGUCAACUAUAUGAAAAACUAGAUGUUUCCACCCUGCUUGGUCUGUCCCAAACCCAUCAACUAGGACUAUGGUUGGAACCCCUGUUCUUAAAAUCUUCGCGUUGUGCGCUUCUUCAACUAUUUACAUCUCACGUUUCCUUUAAUUUGUGGAAAUCAAGGAUUUGUGUUUUUGGUUGCCUCUUACGUUCUUUCUGAUGGUGAAAAAAGUGUGGACUUCUUCUUACUACUUUUUGCUUUUUUUGGGCCGCGACCUUGAAAACGAAAGCAAGGAUGACUAUAACCACAUUUUUUGGUGCUUUAUUGUUGUUUGUUGUAAGAUAGUUUUCACUUCUUUCCACAUUUGGGCAUCUGAUGGCUAUAUUUAAGAAUAGCAAAGUUUGAUAUGA